CACGUAGGCGCAAGCGUUGUCCGGAAUUAUUGGGCGUAAAGAGCUCGUAGGCGGUCUGUUACGUCUGCUGUGAAACCCAGGGCUUAACCCUGGGCUUGCAGUGGAUACGGGCAGACUAGAGGCAGGUAGGGGAGAAUGGAAUUCCGGUGUAGCGGUGAAAUGCGCAGAUAUCGGGAGGAACACCGGUGGCGAAGGCGGUUCUCUGGGCCUGACCUGACGCUGAGGAGCGAAAGCGUGGGAGCAAACGGG
rnacentral:rRNA from 1 species